rnacentral:rRNA from 1 species
UACAGAGGUGGCAAGCGUUGUUCGGAAUUACUGGGCGUAAAGGGCGCGUAGGCGGCCAUCUAAGUCAGACGUGAAAUCCCCCGGCUUAACCUGGGAACUGCGUCUGAUACUGGAAGGCUUGAGUAUGGGAGAGGGAUGUAGAAUUCCAGGUGUAGCGGUGAAAUGCGUAGAUAUCUGGAGGAAUACCGGUGGCGAAGGCGGCAUCCUGGACCAGUACUGACGCUGAGGCGCGAAAGCUAGGGGAGCAAACGGG